UUACAAGUGCAGUUAAUUGUUUGUUUCAUUGGGUAAUGCAACGAUUCUGAGAAACAAUGGAUUGUUGUUCUAAUUUUGAAGCCGUCUCUCUCUCCUCUCAUUAUUCUCUUCUCUGAAACCCGAAAGUUCAUCGACUUUUCAUCUUCUCUGAAAACCCCGUCGCAACUUUGUGUUUGCUGAUAGCCGCCGUCGAAUCGAUUUAAGGAAGCGAUUAAGAGGCAGUGAGAGAUGAAUUUCUUAAUCCAGACACUACUACUAGGUAAUCCCCCGGCUUUGCCUCUGCCUGCCGACACAGCCAAACCCCCCCGAGACUACUUCCGGGGUUCAAAAUCAUCCCGCUUGUGGGGAGUCUGACUUAGAUCUUGCCGUUAACGCCGGAACUGUUCAUAGAUCAACUGCUCCGAUGGACAAGAGGCAAAAACCCAGUGCUUCUGAGGCGGAGGACAUUAAUCAAGAGCAAAGGUUCUGGUCCACUCCUAAAGACUUAUAUGGACCAGAUCCAACUUUCUUUGUUCUUGUCCACCCAUCAAACCAUCCUUAUUGUUAUCCUUCGUUGUUUCUUUUCACUCGCACAAGUCUGAUGAAGUAGCAAGGACGAGGAAUGUUGUUCCUCCAUUGGUAGACAACCAAAUCCAACAGCCAAGAUCUCUUAACGAAACAGAAACAGGUCCUUCUACUAUGGUUUCUCAUAUGGUGGACCAGAUCAGAAUGCCCAGGUCGGCUGAGGUCGCUGACAUUGCUAAUGUGUUGUCGUCGGUAGACAACACCGACAUACCAAGGCUGGUUGACGAUGAGGCUGUUGUGUCCUCUCGGCUAUGUUAUUCUCUUGCGCCGAUGGAGUUUCCAAGAACAAAUCCAAUUCGGAAAACACCUUUUUCAAAAACAAAAAACCCAAUUCGGCAAACACUACCGGUGGCGGAGGUUGUGGGGGCGGCGGUUGCGGUGGUUGUGGUGGAGGUUUAGAGAUUUCAUUCGUCUUCGUUGGGAAAAAAAAACAGAACAUUGGACCAUUUUACUUUCGUAUUAUCGUUAUGUAUAUAUCGCUUUAUUUUAGUACUGUGUAAGCAUAUAUUGUGUUGUUCUUGUAUAUAAAAAGAAAUACUAUUUCUUUCCAAUUCCAUCUUCAGUUAAACUGUUAA